rnacentral:piRNA from 1 species
UGCAUAUAGAGCAGUGGUCCAG